rnacentral:rRNA from 1 species
CAGCCGCCGCGGUAAUACGUAGGUGGCAAGCGUUGUCCGGAAUUAUUGGGCGUAAAGGGCUCGCAGGCGGUUUCUUAAGUCUGAUGUGAAAGCCCCCGGCUCAACCGGGGAGGGUCAUUGGAAACUGGGAAACUUAAGUGCAGAAGAGGAGAGUGGAAUUCCACGUGUAGCGGUGAAAUGCGUAGAGAUGUGGAGGAACACCAGUGGCGAAGGCGACUCUCUGGUCUGUAACUGACGCUGAGGAGCGAAAGCGUGGGGAGCGAACAGGAUUAGAUACCCCCGUAGUCCCUGUCUCUUAUAC